AGACGCUCCAAAGACGCCCUCAGUGAGCGUGAGACCCCCUGGUGGAAUAAAGGAGGGAGGUUCAGUGACUCUGAGCUGCAGCAGUGAUGCCAACCCAGCAGCUGACUACACCUGGUUCAGGGAACAUGGAGGCUCAGUGGAAGAAUUAGGAGAGAACUACACCAUCAGUAACAUCACAACUGAGCUUGGAGGACAUUAUUACUGUGAAGCUCGUAAUGCAGUUGGACUUCAGAAUUCAACUUUGAUGUUCCUUAAUGUGACAGCCACACCAUCAUCACCAUCAUCAGGGCCUACAACUGUGGCAGCAGGAACUGUAGCUGUUUUACUGGCCACCAUGCUCCUCGUCAUCUUCCUCUGGAUGAGAAGAAAGAGGGCUUCUAGGAAAGCGCGUGGCCAGGGAGGAAGGCCAGAUACCAGGGAGGAGUCUCCUCCGUGUCCUGUGUAUGACAACGUCUCAGCUCUGACCAAUCGCUCGGCUUCUGCAGCACAGAGAACCAAUAGAAGAGCAGGAUGACCCUCACUAUGCCAGCAUCCACAUCUCUCGCUCUAAGAACCAGGAAGUGCCUCGUGGGUUUGCUGGUGUUCUGGUAGAGUCUGAUCAUACAGAGCAGGUCCUUUACUCUGCCAUCAACCUUAAAAGACCCAAGGCUGUCCCUGAGUAAGCACUCUUGAUAGUUCUCGAAAAUAAACUUUGAAGCUUGAGACUUCAUCCUCCCAAGGGACAGCUUGUGGAGGCAAAGCCAUUUAUAAACCGUUGACAAUUUACUGAGUUUCUUAACUUCUCUUUCUCGUUUUCACUUCUUCUUUUCAUUUAAAGUAAACUGAUGUCAGAUACCACCAUCAAAUAAACAGCCAAGUUUUUAUAUAGAUUAAGCAUUAAAUGGGUUUUAAUAACAUUUCUAGCAAUAAAUGUGUAUUUUAUUGUCAUCAUCUUCGUUCAUUGAUUGUAUAUAUCGUUUAGUUUGUUUGUUACUAAUAAUAUUUUUCUUAACAGAAAAAAACGCUUUCUAUCAUUACUUUGUUGGUCGAUAUGGGUGCUGCUAUCACAAAAAAUAUGGAUCAAAUGUAUACAUUUUUUUGUUGACAUUCAUUUUAUUCUCAGUGGAAAAUGCUUGUAUCGGCAUUAAGAUGUGUUUGAUACCAUGCCUCGCGAGAAACAUGCUUUUUAUUUAACUGAUUGUAUAUGAUGUUUAGUGGUUAAGUUAAACUGCUUAUGGUGUUUUCAUGCUUCCAGGCUAUUUUCUGUUUAAGUAAUAACCUAAAUGAUAUAUAAAAACACGUAUUUAAAAAAUUUGGAAACAUGCAGGCUGGUCUCAAAAAACGUUCGCAUGAUAUCUUAUUUUCCGUAUGAUUCCGACAAAUGUCUGGUAGCACGAGUGAUCAGUGC